UGGGGAAUAUUGCACAAUGGGCGCAAGCCUGAUGCAGCCAUGCCGCGUGUGUGAAGAAGGCCUUCGGGUUGUAAAGCACUUUCAGCGAGGAGGAAGGGUUCAGUGUUAAUAGCACUGUUCAUUGACGUUACUCGCAGAAGAAGCACCGGCUAACUCCGUGCCAGCAGCCGCGGUAAUACGGAGGGUGCAAGCGUUAAUCGGAAUUACUGGGCGUAAAGCGCACGCAGGCGGUUUGUUAAGUCAGAUGUGAAAUCCCCGCGCUUAACGUGGAACUGCAUUUGAAACUGGCAAGCUAGAGUCUUGUAGAGGGGGGUAGAAUUCCAGGUGUAGCGGUGAAAUGCGUAGAGAUCUGGAGGAAUACCGGUGCGAAGGCGGCCCCCUGGACAAAGACUGACGCUCAGGUGC
rnacentral:rRNA from 1 species